AUUGAACGCUGGCGGCAUGCCUUACACAUGCAAGUCGAACGGUAACAGGUUAAGCUGACGAGUGGCGAACGGGUGAGUAAUGUAUCGGAACGUGCCCAGUCGUGGGGGAUAACUGCUCGAAAGAGCAGCUAAUACCGCAUACGACCUGAGGGUGAAAGCGGGGGAUCGCAAGACCUCGCGCGAUUGGAGCGGCCGAUAUCAGAUUAGGUAGUUGGUGAGGUAAAGGCUCACCAAGCCGACGAUCUGUAGCUGGUCUGAGAGGACGACCAGCCACACUGGGACUGAGACACGGCCCCGACUCCUACGGGAGGCAGCAGUGGGGAAUUUUGGACAAUGGGCGCAAGCCUGAUCCAGCCAUGCCGCGUGCGGGAAGAAGGCCUUCGGGUUGUAAACCGCUUUUGUCAGGGAAGAAAAGGUUCUGGCUAAUACCUGGGACUCAUGACGGUACCUGAAGAAUAAGCACCGGCUAACUACGUG
rnacentral:rRNA from 1 species